GGGAAGGUGGCUCAGUGGUAGAGUGCUUGCCUUGCAUGCAUGAGGCCCUGGCUUCGAUUCCUUAUCA
rnacentral:tRNA from 1 species